ACGUACACUCCUGCGGGAGGCAGCAGUGGGGAAUAUUGGACAAUGGGCGCAAGCCUGAUCCAGCCAUGCCGCGUGAGUGAUGAAGGCCCUAGGGUUGUAAAGCUCUUUCACCGGUGAAGAUAAUGACGGUAACCGGAGAAGAAGCCCCGGCUAACUUCGUGCCAGCAGCCGCGGUAAUACGAAGGGGGCUAGCGUUGUUCGGAUUUACUGGGCGUAAAGCGCACGUAGGUGGACUAUUAAGUCAGGGGUGAAAUCCCGGGGCUCAACCCCGGAACUGCCUUUGAUACUGGUAGUCUUGAGUUCGAGAGAGGUGAGUGGAAUUCCGAGUGUAGAGGUGAAAUUCGUAGAUAUUCGGAGGAACACCAGUGGCGAAGGCGGCUCACUGGCUCGAUACUGACGCUGAGGUGCGAAAGCGUGGGGAGCAAACAGGAUUAGAUACCCCUGUAGUCCCAUGAU
rnacentral:rRNA from 1 species